CAGUCGCCGCGGUAAUACAGAGGGUGCGAGCGUUAAUCGGAUUUACUGGGCGUAAAGCGUGCGUAGGCGGCUAAUUGAGUCUGAUGUGAAAUCCCCGAGCUUAACUUGGGAAUUGCAUUCGAUACUGGUUAGCUAGAGUGUGGGAGAGGAUGGUAGAAUUCCAGGUGUAGCGGUGAAAUGCGUAGAGAUCUGGAGGAAUACCGAUGGCGAAGGCAGCCAUCUGGCCUAACACUGACGCUGAGGUACGAAAGCAUGGGGAGCAAACAGGAUUAGAUACCCGCGUAGUCCCUGUCUCUUAUAA
rnacentral:rRNA from 1 species